rnacentral:rRNA from 1 species
AUUGAACGCUGGCGGCAUGCCUUACACAUGCAAGUCGAACGGUAACGGGCCUUCGGGUGCCGACGAGUGGCGAACGGGUGAGUAAUGCAUCGGAACGUACCUUUCAGUGGGGGAUAACGUAGCGAAAGUUACGCUAAUACCGCAUAUUCUGUGAGCAGGAAAGCAGGGGAUCGCAAGACCUUGCGCUGAUUGAGCGGCCGAUGUCAGAUUAGCUAGUUGGUGAGGUGAAGGCUCACCAAGGCGACGAUCUGUAGCGGGUCUGAGAGGAUGAUCCGCCACACUGGGACUGAGACACGGCCCAGACUCCUACGGGAGGCAGCAGUGGGGAAUUUUGGACAAUGGGGGCAACCCUGAUCCAGCCAUGCCGCGUGAGUGAAGAAGGCCUUCGGGUUGUAAAGCUCUUCCGGCCGGGAAGAAAUCGCACAGGCUAAUACCUUGUGUGGAUGACGGUACCGGAAUAAGAAGCACCGGCUAACUACGUGCCAGCAGCCGCAGUAACAC